UAAUAAUAAGCCAAAUAGCUGUACUAUCCUUUAUUAGUUCUUAGGUACUUUAUGCUUCAUUGUAGCAAGUGAAAUUAGAACACAGUAUGUUAAAGACUUUGAUGUGUCUGUAUGCUUAGAGGGUUUUUUUUUAUAUAUACUGAUAUUUCGUGUAAGAAGUAACUGGAGGGCCUAAGUAGUUAUCUGCAUUCGGUUACAGAAGGGAUGAAUCUGUGCUUUGUAAAUACCUGAUAGUCAUCCCACUAUUGUUCUGCAUUAAAGCGAAACAAAGCUCACUCAAUUUUCUAUUAGCAGGUCUUUUUUUAAAACUGUAAUACUUGAUUUAAAGCAAGGCUAGGAUUAGCAAGGUAUUUUGUUGGAAGUUAAUUACUUGGUUAAAAAGCUUCUUCUGUGAGCGUCAGAUUACACGUAAUGUAUUGCAAAAUAUUUUAGGGAGCACACAUUGUGUCUGAGAAAGAAAGAUCCUUCUCUUAAAUAAAGUUUACCUACUAGGUAGGAUCAACACUGCAUGUGUUUUUAUCCUUAACUAAAUAGGAUAUUUGUCUUGCAUCUUGUAAAAUAUUUCCUAGUCGUGAGAACUGAUCAUUAUGAAAUAAAUACCUAAUCCUUUUAAUAUCGAAGUGAAGUUCUGUUUUAAAUAUCCUUUAAAGAUGGUCAUGUUUCUCUAAUCGCUGUAUUUCAAUUAAUACGAAUAUUUUUCUUUUGGUUGUUACAUUUGUGUGGGAACUGUUGAGUCAUGGCCUGAACAACUGAUUGAACACCUGUGGAAAGGAUCGAGUCAGCCCUGGGAGCACAGGUGAAAGCAAUUCAGCUGUGACCAAAGGGUGGAGCCUGGCUGCACCUCUCUUAGACCCCCAUUUAAGGGCUGACUACUGCUAGGGAAGAAUCUUUUUCUGGGGAUCCCUCCUUGAUGCAGCUUUCCCUUGUGAUCCUGAAAUCUUCUGAUACAGGUAUGGAGAGAUGCAGCUUUAGAAGAUACUCUUCAGAAAAGAAAACACCCAUAUUUGUAGGAAGUUUGCACUAGUCACAAAGUGAAGGAGCUGAACAGAAAUGGCAACAGUAACCUCCCAAGGCACUCCUGACUGAAGUCUACAUUUUUGAGAAGAUACCAUUGAGAGAACUUAAUAUUAUCCCCUACUGGUGCCAUGAAUAAUAAUAAGGAUUUUUACCUCUGAUCUGUGUUGCGGACAGAUGUUUGAAGAGCUAUUUCAGAUACCGUCUAAGUUGUUGAAUUGUUCUGCUAUGGAUAGUGUGCGUCUUAGAACGACUUGACUGCAGACUUGGGCUUGAGCUGCCGAGCAUGAAACAUUUAACAUGACCUUGCCUUAUUGUCUUUGUACCCGUUGUUACUAUUUGAAAGAGAAGUGAAAAGGGAAGUUGUUAUUGAGGAUGCUGAUGCAAAUCUUACAUUUCCAAAAAUGUGGUUCUGUAGGCAAGUCUUGUCACUUGACUUUCACUAACUGAAGUAAGCUCUGGCUAAAUUAUGAAACUUAGUAUUUAAUAAACUUGGUCAUCUUUCUUGAUUUUUGGACUUCAUUUACAAGGUGAAUGAAUUGGGGCUCCCAUUAAUUACUUAUACCUCAGAAUUUGUGGUGGAAAUUCGAUGUUUUCUUACUUUUUUUUCUACUUACAGCAUUACAGAAAUUUACUUAAUAUCAUACUGAGUUAUAAGUGGGGAUCCUUGAUGUAAAUCAUCUGUCCAGAACCACUGUUUCUGAAAUUUUCCUUCACUAAACUGAAUCCUCCAGGCUUCCUAGCACAUCUCCCUAAUCCCUUUGGUCUGACACAGUCUGCAGUAAUGAUCACCAAGGCCAGAAGUACUGCCCUUGGGAAAAGUGCUACAUCCUGUACCAGAGAGAACCCUAAAUAAAUCUCUGAAUUGUCUGAACAAUUUUUGAGAGCGAGGUUGCUUUAAAUGAAGUACUGAGGUUCAGUAUGAAUGAAUAGGACACCUAUCUGGAUACACCUACUCUGCAAAUAUUGCUUAAAUCCAUCUUUUGUAGAACUAUCAACAAUAUUUCAGGGGCUCUUCCAAACUGCUAUCAUUUCUGUUGGGAGAACGUCACACACAAAAUUCCUAUGAACUUCUUUCAAAUGCAGCAGCAUUGUAUAACCUGCUUUCCU
ensembl:lncRNA